rnacentral:rRNA from 1 species
UAAAGUUGUUGCAGUUAAAAAGCUCGUAGUUGAAUUUCGGGGUUAGUAGGUUGGUCAUGCCUCUGGUAUGUACUGGUCUCACUGAUUCCUCCCUCUUGACGAACUGUAAUGUCAUUAAUUUGGUGUUGCAGGAAAUCAGGACUGUUACUUUGAAAAAAUUAGAGUGUUUAAAGCAGGCUAAGGCUUGAAUACGUUAGCAUGGAAUAAUGAAAUAGGACGUUUGAUCCUAUUUUGUUGGUUUCUAGGAUUGACGUAAUGAUUAAUAGGG